rnacentral:rRNA from 1 species
GACGGAGGAUGCAAGUGUUAUCCGGAAUCACUGGGCGUAAAGCGUGCGCAGGCGGUGAUGUAAGACAGUUGUGAAAUCCCCGGGCUCAACCUGGGAAUUGCAUCUGUGACUGCAUCGCUAGAGUACGGUAGAGGGGGAUGGAAUUCCGCGUGUAGCAGUGAAAUGCGUAGAUAUGCGGAGGAACACCGAUGGCGAAGGCAAUCCCCUGGACCUGUACUGACGCUCAUGCACGAAAGCGUGGGGAGCAAACAGG